GUAACUGUCCAUAAAUAACUUGCUCGACGAAAGUUAUUUUAAAGUUACCCGUCUAAGUUCUUAGGGAACUACGUUAGGAAUGAAAAUAUAGGCACCUUGGGAUGCAUCUCCAGUCCCAAGCACUGCGGGAAGUCAUUAAACAGGUCUGGUGGAAAGGCUAGUGUGGCUUUCAGAUAAAACCAUUCUAUAACAUUGACUAGGAGACCAUUAC
rfam:Beggiatoa sp. 4572_84 ex4572_84_scaffold_12229, whole genome shotgun sequence.